UAAUACGGAGGAUCCAAGCGUUAUCCGGAUUUAUUGGGUUUAAAGGGUGCGUAGGCGGCCUUGUAAGUCAGGGGUGAAAGACGGCAGCUCAACUGUCGCAGUGCCUUUGAUACUGCAAGGCUUGAAUACACUUGAAGUAGGCGGAAUGUGACAAGUAGCGGUGAAAUGCAUAGAUAUGUCACAGAACACCGAUUGCGAAGGCAGCUUACUAAAGUGUGAUUGACGCUGAGGCACGAAAGCGUGGGGAUCAAACAGG
rnacentral:rRNA from 1 species